rnacentral:rRNA from 1 species
AGUGAACGCUGGCGGUAGGCCUAACACAUGCAAGUCGAACGGCAGCACAGGAGAGCUUGCUCUCUGGGUGGCGAGUGGCGGACGGGUGAGGAAUACAUCGGAAUCUACUCUGUCGUGGGGGAUAACGUAGGGAAACUUACGCUAAUGCCGAAUACGACCUACGGGUGAAAGCAGGGGAUCUUCGGACAUUGCGCGAUGGAAUGAGCCGAUGUCGGAUUGGCUAGUUGGCGGGGUAAAGGCCCACCAAGGCGACGAUCCGUAGCGGGUCUGAGAGGAUGAUCAGCCACACUGGAACUGAGACACGGUCCAGGCUCCUACGGGAGGCGGCAUUGGGGAAUAUUGGACAAUGGGCGCAAGCCUGAUCCAGCCAUACCGCGUGGGUGAAGAAGGCCUUCGGGUUGUAAAGCCCUUUUGUUGGGAAAGAAAUCCAGCUGGCUAAUACCCGGUUGGGAUGACGGUACCCAAAGAAUAAGCACCGGCUAACUUCGUGCCAGCCGCCGCCCGUAA